rnacentral:lncRNA from 1 species
CUUUUGAAUUCAGGAAGAUAAAACGAAAAAUAUGACAGAUUUUAUCCUGUUUAUUAUUACAUUAAUAAGAAAUAGGGAAUAACAUCGCAUAUUUGAUUUCCUAUAAGUUGUAAUAGUAAUGACAAAUAAAAUACUCUUUAAUGUGAUGAAACAUUUUUACUCAAAGAUUCGACAUUAAAGCUUCCGUCAUGCACCACCGGAAUUAAAGCAAGAAAAAAUCAA